GAUGAAGAACGCAGUGAAAUGCGAUAAGUAGUGUGAAUUGCAGAAUUCAGUGAAUCAUCGAAUCUUUGAACGCACAUUGCGCCUUCUAGUAUUCUGGGAGGCAUGCCUGUUUGAGCGUCAUUAAACCUCUCUCAAGUAUGAUUACUUGGAUGUGAAGGAAGAGUACCUUAAACUUAAGGAGUGUUCUCCUUUGAAAUUGAUUAGCAGAUGGUAAUGUUAUUAAAUCCCUGAUGUUGUAAGAAAUAACAGUGGUUUUGUAGACUAUUAUCUAGCUUUAAAUUAUAAUUUUUAUUAUGGUUGACCUCAAAUCAGGUAAGGAUACCCGCUGAACUUAAGCAUAUCAAUAAGCGGAGG
rnacentral:misc_RNA from 1 species